CGCCCCGCAAGGGGAGCGGCAGACGGGUGAGUAACGCGUGGGAACCCUUACUUACCUACGGAACAACUCCGGGAAACUGGAGCUAAUACCCUAUACGCCCUUCGGGGGAAAGAUUUAUCGGGGAUGGAUGAGCCCGCGUUGGAUUAGCUAGUUGGUGGGGUAAAGGCCUACCAAGGCGACGAUCCAUAGCUGGUCUGAGAGGAUGAUCAGCCACAUUGGGACUGAGACACGGCCCAAACUCCUACGGGAGGCAGCAGUGGGGAAUAUUGGACAAUGGGCGCAAGCCUGAUCCAGCCAUGCCGCGUGAGUGAUGAAGGCCUUAGGGUUGUAAAGCUCUUUCACCGGAGAAGAUAAUGACGGUAUCCGGAGAAGAAGCCCCGGCUAACUUCGUGCCAGCAGCCGCGGUAAUACGAAGGGGGCUAGCGUUGUUCGGAAUUACUGGGCGUAAAGCGCACGUAGGCGGAUAUUUAAGUCAGGGGUGAAAUCCCAGAGCUCAACUCUGGAACUGCCUUUGAUACUGGGUAUCUUGAGUAUGGAAGAGGUAAGUGGAAUUGCGAGUGUAGAGGUGAAAUUCGUAUAUAUUCGCAGGAACACCA
rnacentral:rRNA from 1 species